UGGUGGAGUGAUUUGUCUGGUUAAUUCCGUUAACGAACGAGACCUUAACCUGCAACUAGUUACCUCCUGACUAAGGUGGUUAACUUCUUAGAGGGACUAUGUGUUCAAGCACAUGGAAGUUUGAGGCAAUAACA
rnacentral:rRNA from 1 species